UACGUAGGGGGCAAGCGUUAUCCGGAUUUACUGGGUGUAAAGGGAGCGUAGACGGCAAUGCAAGUCCGGAGUGAAAGCCCGGGGCCCAACCCCGGGACUGCUCUGGAAACUGUAGAGCUGGAGUGCGGGAGGGGCAGGCGGAAUUCCUAGUGUAGCGGUGAAAUGCGUAGAUAUUAGGAGGAACACCGGCGGCGAAGGCGGCCUGCUGGACCGAAACUGACGUUGAGGCUCGAAAGCGUGGGGAGCAAACAGG
rnacentral:rRNA from 1 species